rnacentral:rRNA from 1 species
ACAGAGGGGGCAAGCGUUGUUCGGAAUUACUGGGCGUAAAGGGCUCGUAGGCGGCCAACUAAGUCAUACGUGAAAUCCCUCGGCUUAACCGGGGAACUGCGUCUGAUACUGGAUGGCUUGAGUUCGGGAGAGGGAUGCGGAAUUCCAGGUGUAGCGGUGAAAUGCGUAGAUAUCGUAAGGAAGACCAGUGGCGAAGGCGAGUCUCUGGACAGUUACUGACACUGAGGCACGAAGGCCAGGGGGGCAAACGGGA